rnacentral:rRNA from 1 species
UACAGAGAGUGCAAACGUUGUUCGGAAUUACUGGGCUUGAAGCGCACGUAGGCGGCGUUGUAAGUGUCGGGUGAAAUCCCACGGCUCACCCGUGGAACUGCCCGGCAUACUGCGAUGCUAGAGUGUGGUAGGGGAGAGCGGGACUCCUGGUGGAGCGGUGAAAUGCGUAGAUAUCAGGAGGAACACCGGUGGCGAAGGCGGCUCUCUGGUCCACAACUGACGCUGAGGUGCGAAAGCUAGGGGAGCAAACGGG